AGUUGAUUGCUCAAUUUGAAGCAAGAAUGAGGGCAUCCACAUGUGACUUGGCAUCACUCCAAAGAAGAGAAAUGAAUGCAGCAAAACAAUCUCAAAUUUCGGACUCAUUAGAGGUUGGUGAUAGAAUGAACAGGGAAGUUGGAACAAAUGAUGCUGAAAUAAACAAGUGUGAAAUGAAUAAAAAAGUUUCUUCAAUUG